AAAUCAGCUUUGGAAUAGACUAUAUUUUCACCGGGGCAACAUGAACUAAAUGGAUAUUCACAUCAACACUAAAUUUUGCUCGUGCCUACAGAGCUAUAGUUGGAUUAAGACAGAUGUUAAGAAGUGACAAUGUGAAUUAUACUUUCCGCAUUAAAAUGUUUCAGAAGGUCUGCUAAUGUCAAACUACACGUGCGUGUGACAGAGCUGUGAGUAUAUCCACAUUUCAAUGUUUGACAUAUAGCUUAAAAUUAGGGUAUGCUCAUCACUUGAAACCGUAUCUUUAAAUCAAAAUGAGUUUUAUCUAUAGCCUUUUUAUUAGAAUUAAAAUCAUUCAUGGGAAAAAUGUGCCAAAGGGUUGAAAUUGCCCUUGUAAAUGUACACUAUUUUUGAUAUGUUUUGGUUAGUAUUUUGAAAAUGUGUUCAGGAAGGAAAAUAUGUCGUGAAAAAUACUGGUUGACCCUUAAAUUAUAACUAGUGUUAUGUAAAUCACAGAAAAUUGAAAAAAAAUCUGGUCCAUACACAAUAUUUUGGAUUCUAUGAGGUCCCGAAUGGGGCUUAUUUCAACGUUGAAUCUGUUUACCUGGAAAAACUUAGAAAAUUGAAUAUUAAGUCAAGAAUUUGACUAUGCUCAUCAUCCAAAACCAGGUUUUUCUAAUUGCUUUUUCACCUGGGUUUGUGGCAAUGCCAGUUAUGGGACCACGAAAAAUGCACGCGGCACGUUUUUUGGACACUGAAGAUGGUAACAUUUGAUGUUGUCAUAUAUUGCCAUCCUCUUAUCAUAGUCUGUAAUAUCUAAUAUAUUAUUUUUCAUAGCAUUAUAUGCUAAAUUUAAGUUCUGUUUUUUUAUUUUUAGGUGAUCUAGGAGUAUCUGUUCACUUGAGUGUUGGUAUCAAAUUUUGGACAAGUUUCAAUUAUUAUUUCACUUUCCUUUAUUGAAAUAUCCAAAUAAAUAGAAUAUGACAUCAAGCU